rnacentral:rRNA from 1 species
UACGGAGGGGGCUAGCGUUAUUCGGAAUUAUUGGGCGUAAAGGGCGCGUAGGCGGCUCGACGUGUCCAAGGUGAAAUCCCUCGGCUCAACUGAGGAACUGCCUUGGAAACUGUCGAGCUUGAGGCCGGGAGGGGGUAGCGGAAUUCCCAGUGUAGCGGUGAAAUGCGUAGAUAUUGGGAGGAACACCAGUGGCGAAGGCGGCUACCUGGACCGGUUCUGACGCUGAUGCGCGAAAGCGUGGGUAGCAAACAGG